UGAAUACGAGAUGCUACGGCGUCGAAGCAGUCUAUGUCAUACUUCCAAGAAAAGCUUGCACUGUCAUAAACAAAUAAUGCCUGUACCAUAACCGACACAGGUGGGUAGGUAGAGUAUACUAAGGGGCGCGAGAUAACUCUCUCUAAGGAACUCGGCAAAAUGACUCCGUAACUUCGGGAGAAGGAGUGCCUUAUUUUAUAAGGUUGCAAUAACAAGAUCCAAGCAACUGUUUACCAAAAACACAGGUCUCCGCUAAGUCGUAAGACGAUGUAUGGGGGCUGACGCCUGCCCAGUGCCAGAAGGUUAAAGAAGUUGGUUAGCAUCCGCGAAGCUGAUAACUGAAGCCCUGGUGAACGGCGGCCGUAACUAUAACGGUCCUAAGGUAGCGAAAUUCCUUGUCGGGUAAGUUCCGACCCGCACGAAAGGCGUAAUGAUUUGGAUACUGUCUCAGAGAGGGGCUCGGUGAAAUAGACUUGUCUGUGAAGAUGCGGACUACCUGCACCAGGACAGAAAGACCCUAUGAAGCUUUACUGUAACUUGAAAUUGAAAUUGGACUUUACUUGCGCAGUAUAGGUGGGAGGCGUUGAGAAUAUUCUUGCGGGAAUGUUGGAGCCAUCAGUGAGAUACCACUCUUGUAAUGUUAGAUUUCUAACUUUGUAUCAUUAUCUGGUCAAAGGACAGUUUCAGGCGGGCAGUUUGACUGGGGCGGUCGCCUCCCAAACGGUAACGGAGGCGCACAAAGGUUUCCUCUGAACGGGUAGAAAUCGUAUCUAGAGUGUAAAGGCAUAAGGAAGCUUGACUGUGAGACCUACAAGUCGAGCAGGGACGAAAGUCGGUCUUAGUGAUCUGACGGUGCUGAGUGGAAAGGCCGUCACUCAACGGAUAAAAGUUACUCUAGGAUAACAGGCUGAUCUCCCCCAAGAGUUCACAUCGACGGGGAGGUUUGGCACCUCGAUGUCGGCUCAUCGCAUCCUGGGGCGGUAGUACGUCCCAAGGGUUGGGCUGUUCGCCCAUGAAAGCGGUACGCGAGCUGGGUUCAGAACGUCGUGAGACAGUUCGGUCCAUAUCCGGUGUAGGCGUUAGAAUAUUGAGAGGAGCCUUCUUUAGUACGAGAGGACCGAGAAGGACAUACCUCUGGUGUACCAGUUAUCGUGCCAACGGUAAACGCUGGGUAGCUAUGUAUGGAGUGGAUAACCGCUGAAAGCAUCUAAGUGGGAAGCCCACCUCAAGAUAAG
rnacentral:rRNA from 1 species